rnacentral:rRNA from 1 species
UACGAAGGGGGCUAGCGUUGCUCGGAAUCACUGGGCGUAAAGGGUGCGUAGGCGGGUCUUUAAGUCAGGGGUGAAAUCCUGGAGCUCAACUCCAGAACUGCCUUUGAUACUGAGGAUCUUGAGUACGGGAGAGGUGAGUGGAACUGCGAGUGUAGAGGUGAAAUUCGUAGAUAUUCGCAAGAACACCAGUGGCGAAGGCGGCUGACUGGUCCGGUUCUGACGCUGAGGCGCGAAAGCGUGGGGAGCAAACAGG